GUUUGAACAUUUAUUCGCCUCCUGAGCUUGUACAACAGUCGUGGGAGUUGCUGCAGAAGCAAGCGAAAAGCCAGAUGAGCGCUUCUAAACUUAGAGAGAGGAGGGCAGCCACUGAGGAUUCUUGAGGAGAGAGAGACCAUAGAAUGAAUGAAAGAGUUGGAAAGACUUUAAAGCUCUGGGAGGCUGAAUCCUUUAUUUCGCUGGAAGAAAAACUGAAUGCCAAGAGGGCCUCACUUUCCCCAAAGCUAUACAGCCAUCAGGGGCAAUGCUGGGAUUCCCCCAUGGAUCUCUUGACUCCUAAUACAGUGCUCUUUCUGAUAUGCCAUCUGGCUCCAUAAUGAACAUUGUGUUCCAGGAAAAUCAGUCUGCGCUGAACAGGAUGGAAUUGGGGCAGGACGUCCAGUGAGGAGGACAUUGAGGCAGUAGAGCAGUUGAUUGCCGAAUGACCACCUACCCUGACUUAAAAGAUCAACCUCAGGGAGGAUUGGAGCUUUCUAGAGUCUCUUGGGACAGCAGAAGCACAGGCCGGGUUGGACUGAAUCUUUAAGUGGACAUGAGGGACAAAGUACCUCCUGUUGGUAAACAUCUCACCACCAACCCACUGUGGUGGCUAAAAUCCCACCUUUAGUCCCAGCAACAUAUGAGCAUGUCACCAGGAGGUCUUCACAGGCCUGUCUGCCACCUGAGUGUAGACAUCUUUUGGCCCUGGAGCCCAGAGAGGCUGAAUGUGGAGAGGGUGGAGAGAGGUCUGUAGUCCUCAGAGAAGACUUGCAGCUUUUUCAGAGCCACCAACCCAUAAAAAAAAAAAUCCCCAAACAGAAAAAUCCUAACUGUGGUGACCAGGUACCUCCUGAGACAUGAAGCCUCCACUUACCUGGACCCUGGAGGCCUCUCCGGGCACAGCUGCCAAUGUUGAUCUUAGAUAAGACCACCAGCAAGUAAACAUCCACUGUGCAAAGCUGUGUUAUCUUUGGGGAACUGAAAUGUCCCCUGGGAGUUGGAAACUCCCCUAGCCACAUACCACAGAGUUGAGGAAGGAAGAGCUGAUGGACGGAAGAACCAUGGCGGGAGGAGUCAUCCGGAAGCUACCUCGCUGCCCUGUCAGUUACGGAACAGAGGAGAGAUGCCGGCUGGAGGACACAGCAAAUUUGAACCAAGAGGAGCUUGGAGGAAGCCCGAGCGACCUGGAGGGGACUGGCUGACCUUCCUCAUUCUUUUCAAGUGUGAAUAAUAACCAAGCCCAGUUUGGCAACUCCUUGAGGGUGAGGACGAAGCCCCAUUCUCCUUUUUGGAACUUGGUGGGGCUCAGGAAGCAGGUUCUCUCCAGUCGGUGGCUUUCCUUUCUGUUGCGGGUCUCUUGAGGGCCUGCCUUCAUGAAGGCACAUGAGUGACUCAUCAUUUGUGAAUUAAUUGCUAUAUGUGAAGGGCAUCUGAGAACAAAUUAUCUUCAUAGACUUUUCAUUAUAAUUUUAUUUGUACUGA
rnacentral:lncRNA from 10 species